UCAGGCCUAACACAUGCAAGUCGAGGGGUAACAGGGUUGCUUGCAACCGCUGACGACCGGCGCACGGGUGCGUAACGCGUAUACAAUCUACCUUAUACAGGGGGAUAGCCUUUGGAAACGAAGAUUAAUACCCCAUAGUAUUAAUGACAGGCAUCUGUUAUUGAUUAAAAUUCCGAUGGUAUAAGAUGAGUAUGCGUUCUAUUAGCUAGAUGGUGAGGUAACGGCUCCCCAUGGCUACGAUAGAUAGGGGUCCUGAGAGGGAGAUCCCCCACACUGGUACUGAGACACGGACCAGACUCCUACGGGAGGCAGCAGUGAGGAAUAUUGGACAAUGGUGGGAACACUGAUCCAGCCAUGCCGCGUGCAGGAAGACUGCCCUAUGGGUUGUAAACUGCUUUUAUACGGGAAGAAUAAGGAGUAUGUAUACUCUGAUGACGGUACCGUAAGAAUAAGCACCGGCUAACUCCGUGCCAGCAGCCGCGGUAAUACGGAGGGUGCGAGCGUUAUCCGGAAUCAUUGGGUUUAAAGGGUCCGUAGGCGGAAUUAUAAGUCAGUGGUGAAAGUUUGCGGCUUAACCGUAAAAUUGCCAUUGAUACUGUAGUUCUUGAAUAGUUGUGCAGUGGUUAGAAUAUGUAGUGUAGCGGUGAAAUGCUUAGAUAUUACAUAGAAUACCGAUUGCGAAGGCAGAUCACUAACAACU
rnacentral:rRNA from 1 species